GAUGAACGCUGGCGGCGUGCCUAAUACAUGCAAGUCGAGCGAACAGACGAGGAGCUUGCUCCUCUGACGUUAGCGGCGGACGGGUGAGUAACACGUGGAUAACCUACCUAUAAGACUGGGAUAACUUCGGGAAACCGGAGCUAAUACCGGAUAAUAUAUUGAACCGCAUGGUUCAAUAGUGAAAGACGGUUUUGCUGUCACUUAUAGAUGGAUCCGCGCCGCAUUAGCUAGUUGGUAAGGUAACGGCUUACCAAGGCGACGAUGCGUAGCCGACCUGAGAGGGUGAUCAGCCACACUGGAACUGAGACACGGUCCAGACUCCUACGGGAGGCAGCAGUAGGGAAUCUUCCGCAAUGGGCGAAAGCCUGACGGAGCAACGCCGCGUGAGUGAUGAAGGUCUUCGGAUCGUAAAACUCUGUUAUUAGGGAAGAACAAAUGUGUAAGUAACUAUGCACGUCUUGACGGUACCUAAACAGAAAGCCACGGCUAACUACGUG
rnacentral:rRNA from 1 species